CAAUAGCGUAUAUUAAAGUUGUUGCAGUUAAAAAGCUCGUAGUUGGAUUUCUGAUCGAGACAUCAGGUCGGGUCCGAGAGGAUCAUGUACUUUGAUUUUGUUUUGAUCAUCCUUGGGGAGAGCAUUUCUGGCAUCCAGUUGUCGGGAUUGGGAUCCUCAUCGUUUACUGUGAAAAAAUUAGAGUGUUCAAAGCAGGCCUCGGCCUCUGAAUACAUUAGCAUGGAAUAAUAAGAUAGGACUUUGGUGGUCUAUUUUGUUGGUUUGCACGCCAAAGUAAUGAUUAAUAGGGAUAGUUGGGGGUAUUCGUAUUCAAUUGUCAGAGGUGAAAUUCUUGGAUUUAUGGAAGACGAACUACUGCGAAAGCAUUUACCAAGGAUGUUUUCAUUAA
rnacentral:rRNA from 1 species